ACAAGCGGUGGAGCAUGUGGUUUAAUCGAAGCAACGCGAAGAACCUUACCAGGUCUUGACAUCCCGAUGCUAUUUCUAGAGAUAGAAAGUUACUUCGGUACAUCGGUGACAGGUGGUGCAUGGUUGUCGUCAGCUCGUGUCGUGAGAUGUUGGGUUAAGUCCCGCAACGAGCGCAACCCCUAUUGUUAGUUGCCAUCAUUCAGUUGGGCACUCUAGCGAGACUGCCGGUAAUAAACCGGAGGAAGUGGGGAUGACGUCAAAUCAUCAUGCCCCUUAUGACCUGGGCUACACACGUGCUACAAUGGUUGGUACAACGAGUUGCGAGUCGGUGACGGCGAGCUAAUCUCUUAAAGCCAAUCUCAGUUCGGAUUGUAGGCUGCAACUCGCCUACAUGAAGUCGGAAUCGCUAGUAAUCGCGGAUCAGCACGCCGCGGUGAAUACGUUCCCGGGCCUU
rnacentral:rRNA from 1 species